ACCAGCGCAAUGUUAUGUCAAAAUCCUGUGAAAUUUUGUAGAAAACUCAACGUAUUUUUUUGGUGAAAGAGUUUUUUUUUUUUUUUUUUUUGUUGUUGUAAAUCAUCCACUAUUGAAAUACAAACAUAGCAAUUUAGCGGAUUGAGAGUAGUUCUAUUAGUUAGGGAAAAAGAAUGUUCUGUACAUUCAGAUGCACAUCAGCCACAUACGAUUUGAAACACGAAAACAGUGUGUACACAUUAAAAAAUAAUGUUUCGACGAAAACCUAUAAAACAAGUGAUCCAUCCUUUAAACGAG
rnacentral:lncRNA from 1 species